ensembl:lncRNA
AAGGUUUGACAGGCCCAUUUCCUGUAGUGAGCAUACACGUUUCUUUCAUUUGUUGAAAAUACUUCAUUCAGCACUGAUGUGGCACAUCCCACACCUAUACAGGCUUGAGCAGUGGCCCAGGUUUUCAAAAUAAUUCCUAUUUAUUUAUGGUUCAGAUAUUUCUCCCAGUGCAUUCCAGAACUCAAGUGGAUUUCCAAACCUAGAGCUCCUGUCAGCUAUGGGGGAAAAAGGUGAAAGAGGCAGCAGAGGAGACCUCCCAGAGGAAAACAAAAUUCACUGUGCCUUGAUGUGGAUUCCUUAAUGCUGGAGACAGUAUUUCAGGAGAUUGCAAGUCCUGGAUUCCUGAGAGCAUUCAAAAAGGGAUUAAUGGGUAUGGUGCUUCAGCUUCUUCUGACAGGAGGAUGAUUACCAUAUCUUAAAUUUAAUACCGUGCAAACUACUUACAGUGAAAUGUAGGAAAGCCUGAAUUGUUCAUUGAGGAAUUUUGUGUACAAAUUGUGAUUUUUAUCUGGAUGUAGUCUUUUUGUCAUAGUUUUUUGUUCUCUAAGUUCUCAUGUAAAAUCAAAUAGUAAAAUUCUUGAAGGAAAUAGAUGUGAAGAUAACUCAUCUUAAUAGUCUGCCAGUAGAUUUUCUUUGGACAAAGUUUCAGGCUUUGAACUAUGUUAGCACCCUUCCACCAGCUGUCUGGAUAGUGCACUUCUGGAGUAAGAGGCUGAAAGUAACAGAUAAAUACGUUUCUACAGAAAAAUUAAUGCAAAUGCAGUUGUAAAGAUUUUGCUCAUCUUCCCCAAAGAAGGUCUGUUAGGCCACAGUACAAUAAAUGCCAUUACAAAUAAGGCCAGCACCUCAGUAACUGGGUUUCUGUGGCCAAGCUGCAUCAUCAGUUCUACCUUUUACAGUGCCUCGUAGAGAAGUCCGCAAAUGUAGGACAUAAUUUAACCAAAAUACAAUAGUAACGUACUGUAGAUGUUAGCAAAACUGUCCACAUAAAUUGCAUAAUGUAGCCUGGAAUAAUUUAGUAAUGGACUGAAACAGAAGUUACUGAAUUGAAUGGAUUGUGUUUAUAGACUUCACCAGACUUUGUUUCAGGCUCUGCUCAUGAUGUCGACCUUUUACUGAUGCAUAUCAGAUUAAUCAUUACUAAAAAUAUCUCAUGUUUUGAGCACACAUCACAUAACACCAAAUUUUUUAAACUAGAUCUUUUUAAAAAGACUUGCACAUAAAAACCAACUAAACAGGACACAACUUAGAUAAUGUUAGAUCCUUGGAAAAAAGCUUAAUUGGUUUCAAAGGGAUUUAUUUCAUGCUGUUAGGUCACACAGUGUUAAGUACUUUCUAUAAGUUCCCUCUCCAAAAUAUUGUAUCCUGACAGCUAUUAUACUGUGAUUUUCUCCAUCACAAGUUGUCACAAAAUUGUCAGUGUUUAUUCACCAGGAAGAGUUUAAACUUCAAACCUAUGUAGACAGUCCACUCAGUGCUCUUGGAGUGGGUUAAAUUUUUUGCACUGUAAAAAAAAAAAGUGCAUGUCUUUAAAUGCACCCUGUACAAGGGUGUAGAUCAUUUUCCUGUCUUCCUCCUUUCUUUGUCUGCUACUUACUGAUGACACCUUAACUUCUUGCAAUUUUUUUACUUUAUUUUUUUUAUGAACAGAAGCAGUUGAGAAGGUUAAACUGGCUUGCAAAUAAUGUGAUAUUGACUAGAUUAUGAAAAUGGCACAUACUGAUACAUUCUUAAUAUAUAAGGAUCAGAAAUGAGUAGCAGAGGCUGGGAGAAAGUAUGAAAAAGCCUUUCUUUUUCUGUUACAAAUCCUCUUUAAGUUUUGGGCAUACAUCUACAAAAGAGCCAGAGCUUCACUGAAGGAGACUAGAUUUAAUGUGGCAGAGCCAGCUGUUAAAAUCACAGCUGGUUUCUGGACUUACUAAUAAAAAACGCUGCU